UACGGAGGGAGCUAGCGUUGUUCGGAAUUACUGGGCGUAAAGCGCACGUAGGCGGCUUUGUAAGUUAGAGGUGAAAGCCCGGGGCUCAACUCCGGAACCUGGCCUUUAAGACUGCAUCGCUUGAAUCCAGGAGAGGUGAGUGGAAUUCCGAGUGUAGAGGUGAAAUUCGUAGAUAUUCGGAAAGAACACCAGUGGCGAAGGGCGGCUCACUGGAGCCUGGUAUUGACGCUGAGGCACGGAAAGCGUGGGGAGCAAACAGGA
rnacentral:rRNA from 1 species